rnacentral:lncRNA from 1 species
UUCAGUUGAUUUACAGAUACCGCACGUGGAUCAAGUUGUUUUUGACUUACACCAAAAUAGCUUCAAAUGCAGGUGCCAGGGACUAUCAGCACAGUAGGAAAAAAAACAUUUUAGAAGAGCUUUCUUACCUGGAGCAAUAAAUCCACAAUCAAUCGUACGUGAACAAACAUGAGCAGGAAACUGGCUACCUCAGACUCAUCUAAAUUUAUCUGGAAAGCAAUGU